rnacentral:rRNA from 1 species
UACGUAGGUGGCAAGCGUUGUCCGGAUUUACUGGGCGUAAAGCGCGUGUAGGCGGCUUGUUAAGUCUGUCGUGAAAUCUCCCGGCUCAACCGGGAGGAGUCGACGGAUACUGGCGGGCUUGAGGAGAGCAGAGGAAGGUGGAAUUCCCGGUGUAGUGGUGAAAUGCGUAGAUAUCGGGAGGAACACCAGUGGCGAAGGCGGCCUUCUGGGCUCUUCCUGACGCUGAGACGCGAAAGCGUGGGGAGCGAACCGGAUUAGAUACCCGUGUAGU